rnacentral:lncRNA from 1 species
AUGUCGUAUUAACUUGGUAUUUAGUCUCUUCAGCCCCUCUGCGAGAUGGAGUCGACCUAAUUUGGGAGAGUCCCAUCUUGGACAAAAGACUCUAAAACUGCGCAGCUCCUAAAGACUUUGUGAAGAGAUCUGCGAUCUGUUGUCGCGAAGGGAAAUGCAAGGUUGUGAUGAACCCUCUAGUGAUUUGGUCACGAACUAGGUGGAAGUCGAUAUCGAGGUGCUUCGUUCGUUUGUGAAAAACGUUGGGCGGCCCGAUUAUCGCAAUGCAGGGGUAUGGGGAGAUUUGACCAGAUCUGGAAAUCUUUGAGGAGAUAAGUAACCCAUUGAAUCUCACAUGCUGUCACAGCCAUACUACGAUAUUUAGCUUUAGCUGAAGAGCGACUAACCGUGUUUUGCUUCUUUGUUUUACAGGAAAUAAGAGAGGAGCUAUUUUGUUAAAAGCCUGUAUGGCCUAAAAUAUGCGAAUUGGUUAAAAGCCUGUUGUGAGAUUAAGUGGUACCUACAUAGUCAUUGUCUAUCCUCACUUGCUUCGUUGUUUUGUUAAAUUAAGUGGUGACCAUGUUGAUGAAUUCCUCCAGAAUAGGAAAUACACAUUGUUUGCUUUAGAGCAAAUAAGUCCAACUUGCUCUAGUAUAGUCAUCCACUAGUGUCAAAAUGUACUUGGCAUUUGAGAUAGAGUAGACUGAAUAAGGGCCCCAAAGAUCUAUGUGUACUAAUUCAAAACAAUCAAUAGAAGUAAUCUUUCUUUUAUUGAAGCUUAACCUUUGUUGUUUUGCAAUAGAGCAAACACUAUAUAUGUAUGGGCUGAAAUCACUUGCACUUAUUACAUUCAAAUGUAGUAAUUUGUUUCUAGAAAUAUGACCCAGU